GACUCCUGUUGGUACCAUAUAUUGGGCCUCGUAUAUUUGGGCCUUGGGCCUUGUAUUUGGGCCUCACACUAAAGCCCAUACUUUGUAAAAGAGGAGGAGCCCCUUAUUCUAUAAAAGGGGACUCCUCCCCUCAUUCUAAAGGAGGCAAAAGAGCCAAGCCUAAGAAGGCUAAGAGAAGCUAUCAUUACAUUCAGGAGAGACCUCACACCACCGAGGCUCUCCUCUCCCUUCUCUUCUUUCUCCUCCGGGGG
rnacentral:lncRNA from 1 species